AUUGAACGCUGGCGGCAGGCCUAACACAUGCAAGUCGAACGAGUGGCGGACGGGUGAGUAAUGUCUGGGAAACUGCCUGAUGGAGGGGGAUAACUACUGGAAACGGUGGCUAAUACCUCAUACCAUCAGAUGUGCCCAGUUGGGAUUAGCUAGUUGGUGGGGUAACGGCUCACCACGGCGACGAGCCCUAGCUGGUCUGAGAGGAUGACCAGCAACACGGGAAAUGAGACACGGUCCAGACUCCGACGGGAGGAAGGAGUGGGGAAGAUUGAACAAUGGGCGCAAGCAUGAUGCAGCCAUGCCGCGGGUAUGAAGAAGGCAUUCGGGGUGUAAAGUACUUUCAGCGGGGAGGCGUUACCCGCAGAAGAAGCACCGGCUAACUCCGUGCCAGCAGCCGCGGUAAUAC
rnacentral:rRNA from 1 species